AUACUUACCUGGCAGGAGAGAGACAAUGAUCAUUAAGGUUGUUCUCCCAGGACGAGGUUAUCCCAUUGCACUUUGGGUGUGCUGAAACCUGCGAUGUCCCCAAAUGCGGGAUACUUGACUGCAAAAAAUUUGUAGUUGUGCCAUUUUGUUCAUUUUGCCCCU